GGCACGGUGGUUUAGUGGUUAGCACGUUUUCCUCGCAUCUCUGCGGUUGGGAGUUCGAGUCCCGCCUUUGCCC